rnacentral:lncRNA from 1 species
CAGGGAGCACCCGAGUGCAGCACAGCCACCCCCAGGAAGCCAUGCUGUGGACCUGUCCCCUCUUCUACCUCGCCGUCUUCUGUGCAGAGGUCUCAUUGGAUAUCCUUUUGGAACCAGACACCAAAACCCUGACUGUUCUAGUCGGGGAGCCUGCCACCUUGCACUGCAGCGUAACAGGAGGGGACUUGAAGAACUAUCAGGUGAGCUGGUAUAAGAAGAAUGAAGAUAACUCCCUUAUUUUAGUAUACAGACCAAGCAACAAUACUAAUGAGGAUUCAAGGAGUAAUUUUAAAGGAAAUGCCAAUGCUUCAAAGAGUCAACUCGACAUUCAAAGAACAACAGUAGAAGACGCUGGGACCUACUACUGCGCGUGCGAUAUCCACGAUGCUCCAGUCCUGCUUCUGGUCGCUCCAGAACCUCUGGGUCAAACCGAGGGGGCGGGUCCGAUUAGAGACCAUCUGUGGUUAAAAUGUGCACCAUACCCGAGCUGAGACCACCUGAUAGGCUCAACAGCACUAUCUGAUAAGAGAGAUAAGACUAAGUUGGGGUAAGGGCCUUAUCUUUGUGGUUGGGUGAGAGGGGGCUUAUUUAUCAGCCGAAGAGGGCAUAACGUUCAUUAGGGUUUAUGCAAAGAGACCAAGGGGCCCCUGCACCUGCCUCUCAGGGACUUCUGAGAAAAGGUUGACAUGAACGACCUUCAACACUGAGAAGGUUUUCUUAUUGUGGAAGCAGACCGCGAUGAACAGAAUUUCUACUAUCAUGAGUGCUGGAGCUCGUUCCAGAGUCUAUUGUGAAAGCAUUCUUGUGCAUAAACUAGAUAAAGCAAGGAUGGUUUUCCAUUACCAACCUAAUCAAAAUUUCCAAGGUUAUUAGAGAUAGCUUUAACUCUUACUCUGUGAAGAAGGAUGAAUAGAGUCAUUUUCUGGAAUGCUCUCUAACUAUUUCACAUAUAGAAUGUUUUAUUUUUUAUUUUUAUUUUUUUUUAAGAUUUUAUCCAUUUAUUCGACAGAGAUAGAGACAGCCAGCGAGAGAGGGAACACAAG